rnacentral:rRNA from 1 species
UACGUAGGGUGCAAGCGUUGUCCGGAAUUAUUGGGCGUAAAGAGCUCGUAGGCGGUCUGUCGCGUCUGCUGUGAAAUCUCAGGGCUUAACCCUGAGCUUGCAGUGGGUACGGGCAGACUAGAGUGCGGUAGGGGAGACUGGAAUUCCUGGUGUAGCGGUGAAAUGCGCAGAUAUCAGGAGGAACACCGGUGGCGAAGGCGGGUCUCUGGGCCGUAACUGACGCUGAGGCGCGAAAGCCAGGGGAGCGAACGGG